UACGAAGGGUGCAAGCGUUACUCGGAAUUACUGGGCGUAAAGCGUGCGUAGGUGGUUUGUUAAGUCUGAUGUGAAAGCCCUGGGCUCAACCUGGGAAUUGCAUUGGAUACUGGCAGGCUAGAGUGCGGUAGAGGAUGGCGGAAUUCCCGGUGUAGCAGUGAAAUGCGUAGAGAUCGGGAGGAACAUCUGUGGCGAAGGCGGCCCCCUGGUUGGAUACUGACGCUGAUACGCGAAAGCGUGGGGAGCAAACAGG
rnacentral:rRNA from 1 species